UACGUAGGGUGCAAGCGUUAAUCGGAAUUACUGGGCGUAAAGCGUGCGCAGGCGGUUUUGUAAGUCUGUCGUGAAAGCCCCGGGCUCAACCUGGGAAUGGCGAUGGAGACUGCAAGGCUUGAAUCUGGCAGAGGGGGGUAGAAUUCCACGUGUAGCAGGUGAAAUGCGUAGAGAUGUGGAGGAACACCGAUGGCGAAGGCAGCCCCUGGGUCAAGAUUGACGCUCGAUGCACGAAAGCGUGGGGAGCAAACAGG
rnacentral:rRNA from 1 species